rnacentral:lncRNA from 1 species
GAAAGAAGAAGAAGAAGAAGAAGAAGAAGAAGAAGAAGAAGAAGAAGAAGAAGAAGAAGAAGAAGAAGAAAGGAACUGUCAAUGCUUUAUAUGACGUGAUGUCAUUAGUAAUAUUAUUUUUUUCACAGUUUGAAAUGUCAAUGCUUUAUGUGAUGUGAUGUCUUAAAAAUAUUCACUCGGUAAAAUAUACAGGCUUUGUGCUAUUUCAUCUCCUUGGAGUCAUCGUCGUCGAAGAUUUUGUUCCGUGAUCCCGCC